rnacentral:tRNA from 1 species
UUCGACCUAGUUCAAUUGGCAGAACGCUAGACUUUGGAUCUAGAGAUGGGAGAUCGUGGCUCUCGGUCGAAGCCA